GACGUAGGUGGCGAACGUUAUCCGGAAUUAUUGGGCGUAAAGGAUGCGUAGAUGGUGUAGUAAGUUAUCGGUGGCAAAUCGAGGCUCAACCUCGUGGAAGUCGGUAAUACUGCUAUGCUAGAGGAUAGGAGAGGUUAACGGAACUCCCUGUGGAGCGGUGAAAUGCGUAGAUAUAGGGAAGAACACCAAUAAGGCGAAGGCAGUUAACUAUUCUACUCCUGACAUUGAGGCAUGAAAGCGUGGGGAGCAAAACGG
rnacentral:rRNA from 1 species